rnacentral:misc_RNA from 1 species
AACGCACAUUGCGCCUCUUGGUAUUCCGAGGGGCAUGUCUGUUUGAGCGUCAGUACACACCUCCAGCGAGAUUUUCUUCUCGUCGGGUCUUGGGAUGCGGCGUCGCUCCGGCGCGUCUUCUCCCUAAUGUGGCACGCUUGCGGGCUCCCGGCCAGAUGUCGACGUAGUAAAUCUCAAACUCGUUCCCAGCUGUCGCGAGCCCCGCCUGAAUCGAACUCUUAUGGUUUGACCUCAGAUCAGACAAGGAUACCCGCUGAACUUAA